AUGCAGUGAUGUCAUGAAUUUCUUCACCUGAAACACCUUGAUGGUUAUUGAGCUUUUUAACCCUGAGCAUU